GCCCUCUGGAGUUUCACUUUUUAAUUCUUCUUGGUGCAAGCAACGCAGAUUAGUUUUUUCAUCGCUACCUACAAGUGUCCUCUGAAGAAAGAGGAUUCGGUUCUACAGCAAUGGCUGCAUUUGUUUGCAUCAUUAGGUGAUCGUGCAAAGAGCUGGGAUAACGUGGCUGUGUUAGUUGACGAAACUAUUAAACCACAAGCUCCGUGUAGCCCAAUCCUACAGACCCCAAC